CGCCGCCGUCUCUCGACCACGCCACACGCCUCGCCCCACCUAUUCCCCACAGCCUCCACCUCUGCCUCCAUCUCCACGCGCCGCCGGACCGUCGCGCCCACGCUCCAGGCGCACGGCCGCCUCCACCACGCGCCACCCGGACCGCCGACCGCCACGCCCACGCUCCAGGCGCACGGCCGCGUCCUCCACGCGCCGCCCGGACCGCCGACCACCGCGCCCACCCUCCAGACACAUGGACGCGUCCUCCACGCGCCGCCCGGACCGCCGACCGCCGCGCCCACGCUCCACCGUACAGACGCGACCUCCAGGCGCCUCCCGGAUAGGCGCCGCCUGAAGUCCACCCUACAGGUGCCUUCCGCCCAUAUUCUGGUUGCAGUGACCAUUUUUUGUUUAAUUGUUCGCAUGUUCAAUACCACACCCCCGCUCUCAGAUCCAGGCUGCUCGUUGGUGCCGAGCCCCAGCGUAGCACCCACCGUCUCCAUCUCCUGCGUCAGGACGCUGUUCCCACGGCCCUCCGACAGGUUCGUGGCUAAGUCACGGCCGCCGCGAUGGCAAGUACUCCAUGCGCCCUCGGUCGGUCGCUGCCGUCGCCGAGCAGUCCUCCUAUGAUUUCGCAUCUUAGUUCGCUACUGGAGAUGAACAGGACCAAGAGCUGCAGAGAUGGCAAGUACUUGACAAGAAAGAAUUACAGGCAGUUCCACCUGGAGGUGGGACAGGCUGUGGAAAUUGAAUGUAUUGUAAAGAUUUAGGAUGUAAACCAGGAGGUGAUCAAAGUAUUGGAGGGGCUGGGAUUUCGUGAAGGAAACUUGGCUUACUUGGGAGUAUGAUCCAUGCUUUAUGAUGUUGUGAGUGACUUCUCGUGUUUAGUGCUUGCGGCGUAGAUCAGUAGAUGGAGAAGAGCCGACUUAACUGGAGUCCACACAGCACAAACGAACUAGAGUGUUUACAUUUCUUUCAAGUGCAAGAAGGCAGUUACACUACUGAAAUUAUAUGCGGAUGAAAUGCUUGGGACUACAAGAUGCUACAAGGAAACUAAAUGCAAAAGAAAACUAUGGAGGAAGUAUUACAUGCAAUACUAAAUCUGGAGGAAGAAUAAAAAUCAAGUAAAGGUUGGAGGUAGAAUCAACUUCAAGCUCGAGUACCCAAUGGUAGAGAAAUAGAAAGGAGGCACAAGAUGGAAGAUGGUGACCAGAUAAGGAAGCAAUUUUUGGUGCACCUACUCAACUACAUCAACAAUGAAGCUGCACACAACAUUCCGGAUACUUACGUGAAUUCAUUAGCCUUAUUAGGAAAUACUGGGAUAAUUGUUUUGGCUCUAUGCACAUGACGAGUCGAUGAUACAUUAAGGUUGUGUUUGGCUGCUCAGUUUUUUUUAAGUAUUUGGAGAAUACUAUGGUUUUCUCAUAAACCACAGAUUUCAAAACUUUGAGCUGUUUGGCUUCAACAAAUAGUUUUAUAAACCAUAGUAUCUCUAAUACCAUGGUUUUUUGGUAGUAUUUAAUAAAGAGAUCUUCACCACUUUUUUACAAACUGAAAAAACCGUGGUUUUUAAAAACUGAAGAAUUAAUUGUACUGAGGUUCUCGGUUACUACUGUUUUGAGAAAACUAUGUUGCCAAACUAGGCCUGUAGUGUUUUCUUGAUUUGUAAUAGUACUUUUGAGUGUAAUCAAAAUAUCUUUAUGUGCAUGUUAAUUCUGACAUAUGUUUGUCAUAUUAAUUGAGAUAUGCAUUUGCACAUGCACGCUUACUAGUUCCUUGCAAGAGAGAGCACAGAACACAAGAACGAAGAGAUUUGCGCCGCGUGAACUUCUCACGGCUUUUCUUCUGCUUCUAUUAUUCAUUCAAGGUACAAGGUAGUGGGCCUCGCGGCCGCAAAACGCCGUGACCCAUUCAGCGUCUUGCUACAUAACGACUUGGUUCUUGCAGGGACUUGACGACUUAUUAGGACGCAACCCAAACAGACUCGACAUCGGCCAAACUAAGACAAGACGUGCUGUAAACACACAAGCCGCCACAAUUGUUUAUUUGGAAAGGGAAACAU
rnacentral:rRNA from 1 species